AAAUUUUCGAUCUAUAUUUUCGAUCUAAUUUAUGGGUGAAAAUCUCUUUAGAAUAAAGAAAAUGAAUCAACUUAAUUCUAAUUAAAUCUUAUUUAAACGGGAAUAUGUAAUAGUGUAAAUAGAAUUAAUAAAGAAGAGAUAUUGUGAAAAAAAGUAAUAUAUUUGACAAAUAUAUUUCACAUAAUGGUAUAUUUGUAAGUAAAUAUAUCAAAUAUACAUGUACAAAUAUAACAAAAUACAUAAUAAGAUAUGUAUGUUAUGUUAUGAUAUACUAUUUUUAGGAAAUUAAUUUAAAUAUUUAAAUAUUUUUUGAUAUAUAUAAUUCGAUAUGUAAUCUAAUCUUAUUAUAAUAAAUUAAAAAAAAAUAAGUGUAUAAAAAUUUCAAUGAUUUUCUUAUUACAAUAGAAAUUCUACAUAACAUUGAAUAAGGAUUUCUGAAAAGCGAUUAUAUCAUCGAUCUGAAGUACAAUAUGCGUUUCUUCAUUCAAUACCUUUUUUUUUCCUUUACAACAUUUAAAAUCACAAAAAAAUGUUUUCCGAAAUAGAAGAAACAUCACGUAACGUGAAUCAAAGCAGAGCAGUGACCUUGUUAUUCUCUAUAUUUCAUUUCAUAUUUAUUACGUAAUUAAAAUGUUUAAAAAUAACAUUAUGGUUAUCGAAAAGUUGGUAUAAAAACUUUUUUUUUUAAUUAAAUUUGAUUUUUUAUGUAUAAUCGUGAUAAUUGAAUGGAUAAAUAGAUGAAUUAAAUGGAUGAAUAAGUGAUUGAUAUACAAAAAGAAA